UUACAUUUGGGUUUAUUGGUAUAAUCACAAAAAAUAAAAUAGUUAAAAAAAAACCUAACUUGCAGAUUCAGUAGUGAUAUGUGUAACAAAUGUACUGUCCACCUUGAUACAAUCUGAAUUAUGCUUUAAUAUCUUUUCUUUAACAUCUUCUACGUUUCUUUACAGUAAUCAAUCUCAAUCUGAUACAGAGACCGAAUGGAGCUUAUCUGAAACUUAUGUACAUGUAGAAGGGUGAGUUUUUCCCUCUCGGACUCCUUUAUUAAAGCUUUUCAAAAACAAACAUAAGUCUAGUCGGAAAUCAGAUAUCAUGUGGUCCAUGUGCCUCAACAGUAAUUUAAGAACCAUACUGUAGCCAUUCAGAACUGCACAGGUUGUCUAAAAGUACAUGUGAAAAACAAACAUUGUGUUCACCAUGAGACAGUCUGAGUUGUGUUUUAAUAUUUGAUCAUAUUUCUUUACAGUGAUGAAUCUCAAACUGAUACAGAGAAUACAUGGAGCUUAUCUGAACAUCAUGAACAUGUAGAAAGUAAUCAAUCUCAAUCUGAUACAGAGACCGAAUGGAGCUUAUCUGAAACUUAUGUACAUGUAGAAGGAAGUUCUCCUCAACCUGAUGAAAAUAAUGCAGAUAAUCCAUCUACAACUGAUGAGAAUGAAACACGUGAUGAAUCUCAAACUGAUACAGAGAAUACAUGGAGCUUAUCUGAACAUCAUGAACAUGUAGAAGGAAGUUCUCCUCAAGCUGAUGAAAAUAAUGCAGAUAAUCCAUCUACACCUGAUGAGGAAAAAACACGGUCAGUGUUUAUACGAAACUCCUUUAAAGGCUGCUUUCUUGUAAAUGUUCCAAAUAAUGUAUUCUAUGAUGUAGGUUACAGGAUUUGUGAUCAAUUAGCAAAGCUAACUAAUGAUUUUCUUUAAAACAAACAAGCACCCUAUAAAACUGUUUAUGAACCUAGACCAAUCUAGUAUGUGCUCAAUCAAAAUAUCAAAAGCUUUUUCUUUUUGUUUUAAGUCAACCUAUAAUAAUGUUAAAAAAUGGAGAAAUACCUAGUUUGCUAAAAAUCCGAGUUGUUUUACCUCAUUUGGCAGUUUAAGCCAAGUAACAGGUAACAUU